GUGCUCGAAGUAAACGGCCGCAGAAUUUUAACUGUGCUAAGGUAGCACAAUCCAUUGCUUCCUAAUUAGAUGCUAGAAUAAACGGUCUUACGAAAAUUAAUCUAUCUUCAUUAUACAAUUAAACUUGACUAAAAAGUUAAAAGUCUUUUUAAAUAAUAAAAAGACGACAAGACCCUAAAAACUUAGCCUUAAUUAUAAAAAAAAAAAGAAAUUUCAUAAAAAGGAUUUUACUGGGGCGGUAUUCUCUACUUAAAAACAAAUGAACAUAUAAACACCAUGUGUGAAAUCUUCCGAACCUUAGCAAAACUAAAACUCAAAGUUACUUUAGGGAUAACAGCGUUAUAUUAUUUAAGAGCCUUUAUCAACAAUAAAGAUUACGACCUCGAUGUUGAAUUGAAAACGUCUAAAUAGGACAGCCCCUAU
rnacentral:rRNA from 1 species